UACGUAGGUCCCGAGCGUUGUCCGGAUUUAUUGGGCGUAAAGCGAGCGCAGGUGGUUUAUUAAGUCUGGUGUAAAAGGCAGUGGCUCAACCAUUGUAUGCAUUGGAAACUGGUAGACUUGAGCGCAGGAGAGGAGAGUGGAAUUCCAUGUGUAGCGGUGAAAUGCGUAGAUAUAUGAAGGAACACCGGUGGCGAAAGCGGCUCUCUGGCCUGUAACUGACACUGAGGCUCGAAAGCGUGGGGAGCAAACAGG
rnacentral:rRNA from 1 species